rnacentral:rRNA from 1 species
CAGGGAAUCUUGCGCAAUGGGCGAAAGCCUGACGCAGCGACGCCGCGUGGGGGAAGAAGGCCUUAGGGUUGUAAACCCCUUUUCUGGGGGAAGAGAAAGGGCGGUACCCCAGGAAUAAGCCUCGGCUAACUACGUGCCAGCAGCCGCGGUAAUACGUGGGAGGCAAGCGUUGUCCGGAUUUACUGGGCGUAAAGGGCGUGUAGGCGGCCCGGAAAGUCCUUGGUGAAAUCUCCCGGCUUAACUGGGAGGGGUCCAGGGAUACUUUCGGGCUAGAGGGCAGUAGAGGAGAGUGGAAUUCCCGGUGUAGUGGUGAAAUGCGUAGAUAUCGGGAGGAACACCAGUGGCGAAGGCGGCAUCCUGGACCGGUAUUGACGCUGAGGAGCGAAAGCUAGGGUAGCAAACCGG